GCUGCUGCUGCUGGCGGUCUGCAUCGCUGGACUCUUCAUCUGGAGGAGGAACAAUAACGGGUUUCGCCCUGCUAACACGGGGCAGUGAGCAUAGAAGAGGAUGCUGAACUCCACAACUUUCUGUCAUUUAAUAAAUCUCUCUAAUGAAAGCUGCUCAUCUGAUUGGCUGCUAUAUAUAUAUAAGGUAAUGAAUUGGUAUUGUGAUUAAGUUACAUUAUAAGUAACAAAUUGGUAUUGUGAUUAAGAUACAUUAUAAGUAAUGAAUUGGUAUUGUGAUUAAGU